UUUUUGGGGGGGGGGGGUUUGUUGCUUCUAUCCCUUGAAAAUUCCCCGUUUCCAAGCCUGACCUGCCGUCUGUCCCGCCUGGACCACGCAGAGGAAGCACCAGCCCCUCACUGGGGCCACGGAGUCCUGGAGGAUUUUGGGGAGAGGUGGCCACUUUUCCCUAUAACCUCACCUUCCGCUCUACUGGCAAAACCAGGUGUGUGUUGAAACCCGAUUUGCAAGGAAAAGGAUGUGGCUCGGCAGAGGAUGGGCCUUAUCUGAGGCGAUAAGGAGACACCCAGGCGCUGAUCAUCUCGUGAAUUACCCGAGAUGGGCAUCAGGAAAAUCCCCCGUAAAUGUGAAUACCGUGUUCCCAAAAAUUUCAAUCAAAGGUUCCAACGACUCCGGAUUUCGAAUUGUUCUGCCUCUCGCCGAGAAGGAAAUCUCUCCAAUUUCUGGGACUCUGAAUGAAACAAGGGACUGAAUGCCGAAAUCCUGGCGUCAGGCAAAAAUUUCCCCUAUUGUUACAUGUAACAGGUAUAAUUCGUGCCAUUUUUUUUUUUGUAUGAUAUAUAUAUAAUAUUAAAUAAUUGUUAGGAUGUACCCUUUGGCAUUAGAAGCCCCUUUCUCAGGCAAAACCAGGUGUGUGUUGAAACCCGAUUUGCAAGGAAAAGGAUGUGGCUCGGCAGGAGAUGGGCCUUAUCUGAGGUGAUAAGGAGACACCUGUUAUAAACAAGUUCAGCAAAGUUAAAGUUGUUGAAAUACUUACAAUUGUAAUAGGCGCUGAUCAUCUCGUGAAUUACCCGAGAUGGGCAUCAGGAAAAUCCCCCAUAAAUGUGAAUACCGUGUUCCCAAAAAUUUCAAUCAAAGGUUCCAACGACUCCGGAUUUCGAAUUGUUCUGCCUCUCGCCGAGAAGGAAAUCUCACCAAUUUAUGGGACUGUGAAUGAAACAAGGGACUGAAUGCCGAAAUCCUGGCGUCAGGCAAAAUUUCCCCUAUAAAAAUAAUUUGUACCACGAUGGUGGCGUGGGAGCAUAGAGGGAAACCUCUGCCGAGGAUGAUCUCCCGGCACUGUCCUUUUCCUUGUGUAAGUUAGAUCUCUAUUGCUAAAAUAAAUUCUUUUUAUUAUUUAAAAUUCGGCUGCAUCGUUUUUCAUU